CCUACGGGGGGCUGCAGUGGGGAAUAUUGCACAAUGGGGGAAACCCUGAUGCAGCAACGCCGCGUGAGCGAAGAAGGUCUUCGGAUCGUAAAGCUCUGUUGUUAGGGAAGAACAAGUACGGGAGGAAAUGACCGUACCUUGACGGUACCUAACGAGGAAGCCACGGCUAACUACGUGCCAGCAGCCGCGGUAAUACGUAGUUGGCAAGCGUUGUGCGGAAUUAUUGGGCGUAAAGCGCGCGCAGGCGGUCUUUUAAGUCUGAUUUGAAAUCUUGCGGUUCAACCGCAAGCGGUCAUUGGAAACUGAGAGACUUGAGUGCAGAAGAGGAAAGCGGAAUUACACGGGUAACGGUGAAAUGCGUAGGGAUGAGGAGGAACACCAGUUGCGAAGGCGGCUUUCUGGUCUGUAACUGACGCUGAGGCGCGAAAGCGUGGGGAGCAAACAGGAUUAGAUACCCGUGUAGUC
rnacentral:rRNA from 1 species